rnacentral:rRNA from 1 species
ACUGCUCAGUAACACGUGGAUAACCUGCCCUAAGGAAGGGGAUAACCCCGGGAAACUGGGGAUAAUACCCUAUAGGUUACAGAUGCUGGAAUGCUCUGUAACUCAAAGCUCCGGCGCCUUAGGAUGGAUCUGCGGCCGAUUAGGUUGUUGUUGGGGUAACGGCCCAACAAGCCCGUAAUCGGUACGGGUUGUGGGAGCAAGAGCCCGGAGUUGGAUUCUGAGACACGAAUCCAGGCCCUACGGGGCGCAGCAGGCGCGAAAACUUUACAAUGCGGGCAACCGUGAUAAGGGAACCUCGAGUGCCUGUAUAUGCAGGCUGUCCAGGUGUCUAAAAAACACCUGAAGAAAGGGCCGGGCAAGACCGGUGCCAGCCGCCGCGGUAAUACCGGCGGCUCGAGUGGUGGCCACUUUUAUUGGGCUUAAAGCGUUCGUAGCUGGGUUGUUAAGUCUCUUGGGAAAUCCGGCGGCUCAACCGUCGGGCGUCUAAGAGAUACUGGCAGUCUUGGAACCGGGAGAGGUGAGGGGUACUUCGGGGGUAGGAGUGAAAUCCUGUAAUCCUCGAGGGACCACCUGUGGCGAAGGCGCCUCACCAGAACGGCUUCGACAGUGAGGGACGAAAGCUGGGGGAGCAAACCGGAUUAGAUACCCGGGUAGUCCCAGCCGUAAACGAUGCGCGUUAGGUGUAUCGACGACCACGAGUCGUCGAGGUGCCGAAGGGAAACCGUGAAACGUGCCGCCUGGGAAGUACGGUCGCAAGGCUGAAACUUAAAGGAAUUGGCGGGGGAGCACCACAACAGGUGGAGCCUGCGGUUUAAUUGGACUCAACGCCGGGAAUCUCACCGGAUAGGACAGCAGAAUGAUUGCCGGGCUGAAGACUCUGCAUGACUAGCUGAGAGGAGGUGCAUGGCCGUCGUCAGUUCGUACUGUGAAGCAUCCUGUUAAGUCAGGCAACGAGCGAGACCCACGCCAACAGUUGCCAGCAUGAUCUCCGGAUUGAUGGGGACACUGUUGGGACCGCCU